rnacentral:rRNA from 1 species
UACAGAGGUCCCGAGCGUUGUUCGGAUUUAUUGGGCGUAAAGGGUGCGUAGGCGGCGGAGUAAGUUGGGGGUGAAAUCCCGGGGCUUAACCUCGGAAUGGCAUUCAAUACUGCUUCGCUUGAGUACUGGAGAGGAGGCUGGAAUUUACGGUGUAGCAGUGAAAUGCGUAGAUAUCGUAAGGAAGGCCGGUGGCGAAAGCGAGCCUCUGGACAGUUACUGACGCUGAUGCACGAAGGCCAGGGGAGCAAACGGG